rnacentral:tRNA from 2 species
CAAAAGGUAGCUUAAUCCAAAGCAUUUAACUUACAAUUAAAAAAUAUUCUAUAAGAAUCCUCUUGA